ACUCAAAUGAAUUGACGGGGGCCCGCACAAGCGGUGGAUCAUGUGGUUUAAUUCGAAGCAACGCGAAGAACCUUACCUGGAUUUGACAUCUCCUGACAACCGUAGAGAUACGGCUUCUGUAGCAAUACAGCAGGAUGACAGGUGCUGCAUGGCUGUCGUCAGCUCGUGUGGUGACAUGUUGGGUUAAGUCCCGCAACGAGCGCAACCCUUGUCUUUAGUUGCCAGCAUUAAGUUGGGCUCUCUAAAGAGACUGCCGUGGUUAACACGGAGGAAGGUGGGGAUGACGUCAAGUCCUCAUGGCCUUUAUAUCCAGGGCGACACACGUGAUACAAUGGACGGUACAGAGGGACGCCAAGAGGCAACUCGGAGCUAAUCUCAAAAAGCCGUUCUCAGUUCGGAUUGGAGUCUGCAACUCGACUCCAUGAAGUUGGAAUCGCUAGUAAUCGCGGAUCAGCACGCCGCGGUGAAUACGUUCCCGGGCCUUGUACACACCGCCCGU
rnacentral:rRNA from 1 species